GGCCCUGACCACUGCACCAGCCAGUCAGCCACCCAGCACCAGCAGGCAGCGCAGCUAGGUGGGGUGGGGCCGUGGGGGGCAGCCGGUGGGAACGCUUGCCCCGAACUCCCGAUACCCACACCCGUCUUGACUCUGGCCGUCUCUAUUCUCCAAGUCCCAAUCCACCGACGAAUUCCAAACCCUGCCUAGGACCUCGGCGCCACUCGCCGCACGUCGUCCACGUCCGCCUCCACCAGCGGUGGAGGGGAACUGGAGAGACAAAUCAAUGAGCAGGACGCGGGAGCAGAAGAGAUGAAGCCACCAAAGCGUGCAGUUGAAGAGUCGAGUCGAGGACUCUAAGAAGCGACUACAGGCCGGCUUUCCCAUAUGAGAUUGUGGCUGUUUCCUUCAUUCCUGCAGGGAGUUGUUGGCUGCUGUGGGCUCUCCGCGCCGGGCUGUGGGUGCUGCUGUUUAGGCCAGGGGAGUGCAAAUAGGGUAAAAAUGUAUAUACUAUAAGGCUUUUGGUAUUUGGGACUGGGUGCGGCCGCACCCAGUUGGCCUAUAUAUGGUGGGUACUGAGAUGAGUGAAUCAUGUUCGAGUUUCAUGUGGUGUACUCUGUUUAUACUUUUGCAUCAAGUCGAGUGCUGACCUUGUUUGUGCGUGAUUGUUCUUGUGUGCUUCAGAGAUCCUAGCCCUUGUUUCUGAUUUCACAGCAGUUGCCUGAUGGCUGGUGUGUGACUUUUAGUGCCCUUGCAAAUGCUAACAAGUUUUUCCCCUGGUGCAAUAAAUAUCUGUGCUAUGGAUGGAUGAAAAUGAAGUGGGCUCAUGUUUUAAUGUCAUUUUUUUGUUUUAAACUUUUAAUAGCCAAUCCGAUGGGGUAUGAAGAGAGCAAAAAACAUCUCCUCAGUCUCAGCUACCCUGAGCUGCAAUGUUUGUGCAAAAGGUAUAACCUUCCUGCUAAGAAGACCCACUCUCAGUUAGCAAGUUCGCUCGCCUCGCUGCUUGAGGCAUCUCCAUCUCCUGCUCCUCCUCCUGUCCAAUUAGCAAAUAUGAAAGAAGCAUCCACAUGCAAUCAUGCUAACAACAAAAGAGGCCCAUACAAUGGCAGGGAUGAUGGUAAACCACUUGUGCAUGCGAAACAUCAAAAAGGAGAUCAGACACCUGUUGAUGAAACAUCUAAAAAGCAGGGGAUUGACACUGGUACGAGUAUACCUCCAGUUUCUAUGAACCAUGGAAGACCAGAAUAUCAUGGCCAUCUAUCUUCUGACCUGAGAACUGCUCAUAAUUUACAGUCCCAAUGUGACGUGGGAAUUGCAACUAAUACAACAAAUCUAGAAUUUGUUGGCAAACAUGAUUGUUCACCUGCUAACGUAAUUGAUCAAAUCUGUCCCCCUAUUAUUCAAAAAUAUCCUUCUAAUGGUAAUGGUCAGGCUUCCACUAAGUUCGGCCGUAUGAAUGAUAACACAGAAAAGGGUUGUCGGCUGUCUGAUAAGAUAUCAGCAAAUGCUGCUGCUGUUCAAUUUUCUGUAAUGUCAGAUGAGGGCAUUGAUCUUCUUGUUGAUCUGAACUCCAGUUCAGCAACAUGGGCCAAGAACUUCAUGGCAGAAAUGCACAUUACCCCUCCGUCUGAACAUGGGAAUUUCUCUAGCUUCAUUAGCAGUUUGUCAACUAAGGAUGAUCAUAGCACUGCGUCACCAUCUGGAAAUAUCAUUGUUGACAUUCAGAACAAGGGAGCUGAGAACAUUGUUCCUUCCACUGAUUCAUCACUUGCUUCAGAUGUUGGUGAGAGCUCCCGUUCAGUGCUCUAUCCAGUUGAUACGACUACUGUGAACUCAGUGUCAUCCACGUCUACAGUGGCUGGUACCCCAGUUGAACUUUCUGGGUAUCAGGAGGGUGCUCCAGUGGUAUGUUCUUCAUGUUUAACAGCUGAUGUUCAGAACAAUGUGACAUCUGAUAUGCCAGGUGCUUCGGAUAACGAGGUGCUUCCUCCAGAACCUGCUGAUGUCUUUUUGCAGUCUGAAAGAAUCACUGCACCAGCUGUAUGUGGUUCAGUGCAACCAAUUGGCAAUAAAUGCACAAUGAGUUCUGGGGAUGAGGUUAGAAGUGGCUCCAAUGAAGACUCCUGUCCAAAAUCUUCAGGAAAACAAACUGGAGAUGAAACCCUAAUGGAAAAUGAACCUGUGAAGGCAGUAGCAGUGGAAGAAAAUAUAGGUCGUGAUGACAGUUUGUCCAUUUCUUAUCAACUAGCCUGUAAGACAGUAGCAGAACUGCCUGUUACAGAUGCCCAGUCGCCUGCUAGUUCUUCUGGUCAUUUUAUUGCUGGAAAUUUUGACAACACACAUCCAACAUCUUCCGCCACUUCGUAAAAGGGGAAGAGAAUGAAAGCUGCUAAACGUAUUAUUUUGGUCAAUGGCAAAGUCUACGUGUCUCACUUUUAGCUCCGCAACUGCAAACCUGCUUAUUUGGACAAUGCUAUUAAUUCUCUGACUUCAAAGUUCGGUGCAGAGCUAGCACAAAGUCAUGAUUCUACGGACAAAAAGGGACAGAAUGAUGCUGAGGAGGUUGAGGAGUUAGAGAGUAUGACACCAGCAGCCUAUAGUGAACCUCCCAGAAAUAUACAACUUAGCUUACGAAGUGCUUCCGCUAAGGUCAAGCCUUCUACACUACCAAGACGAUCAGCGAGGCUUCUUCCUAAGUAACCGCCGUAAAUGAUACAGAUGAGAUCCAGUGUGAGAAUAGCCUCACUACCGGCUUAGUCAGAUUCCAUGAGGAUGAAGGGAUAGAAAACAGUUAACAAGCUUAGAUUCUAAUUUUGUAUGUUCUUGUUAAUUCUUUUUUGUUCCAGCAACUGAGUAGAACUUGGUUUCUGAAGCUUAGGCUGCGUGACUUUUUAUCUCCUCGUGUCCAUCAACAUCUGUUACAGUUACAGUCGUACUGUCGAGCUUUCAUACACUAUUGUACAAACGACUCCUACUUUUACAGCAUCUGUUUCCUCUGGUCUGCGACUUGUUGGAUGAUGUCUUCUGUGUUUUAUAUCAAUGCAAUAUAACUAUUGGUGCA